rnacentral:rRNA from 1 species
GAUGAACGCUGGCGGCGUGCCUAAUACAUGCAAGUCGAGCGAACAGAUGAGGAGCUUGCUCCUCUGACGUUAGCGGCGGACGGGUGAGUAACACGUGGAUAACCUACCUAUAAGACUGGGAUAACUUCGGGAAACCGGAGCUAAUACCGGAUAAUAUAUUGAACCGCAUGGUUCAAUAGUGAAAGACGGUUUUGCUGUCACUUAUAGAUGGAUCCGCGCCGCAUUAGCUAGUUGGUAAGGUAACGGCUUACCAAGGCAACGAUGCGUAGCCGACCUGAGCGGGGUGACGGGCAAAACUGAACUGGAACAAGGGCCAAAAUCCUUAGGGAGGCAAGAAGAGGGGAGCUUCCGCAAAGGGCGAAAACCCGACGGGGGAAAGCCGGGGGGAGGAUGGAAGGUUUUGGAUCGGAAAACUCUUGUAUUAGGGGAAGACAAAUGGGGAAGGAACUAUGCACCUCUUGACGGGUCCCAAACAAGAAGCCACCGCAUAAUAACGG